rnacentral:piRNA from 1 species
UACCACGAGCCAGUACUGAAGUCAAUAAAUA